GACGAACGCUGGCGGCAUGCCUAAUACAUGCAAGUCGAGCGAACAGAUGAAGUGCUUGCACUUCUGACGUUAGCGGCGAACGGGUGAGUAACACGUAAGGAAUCUACCUAUAAGCGGGGGAUAACAUUCGGAAACGGGUGCUAAUACCGCAUAAUAUCUUCUUCCGCAUGGAAGAAGAUUGAAAGACGGCUCUGCUGUCACUUAUAGAUGACCUUGCGGUGCAUUAGUUAGUUGGUGGGGUAAUGGCCUACCAAGACAAUGAUGCAUAGCCGACCUGGGAGGGUGAUCGGCCACAUUGGGACUGAGACACGGCCCAAACUCCUACGGGAGGCAGCAGUAGGGAAUCUUCCGCAAUGGGCGAAAGCCUGACGGAGCAAUGCCGCGUGAGUGAAGAAGGCCUUCGGGUCGUAAAACUCUGUUAUAAGAGAAGAACAAAUUGUAGAGUAACUGGCCUAGAGAUGACGGUACUUAACCAGAAAGCCACGGCUAACUACGUGCCAGCCGCCGCAGUAA
rnacentral:rRNA from 1 species